AUGGAAACCUCACCACAGCACUUCCUCCUCCCCCUGCCAGACUCUCCCAAUUCACCUCCCGAAUUUCAACGCUCAGUCCAUCGGCACCCUGUAAAUGCUCAAUUCUCAGUCCGUCCAGAGGAGAAGUCCUUCCUGGGCCACGGGCUCCGGGCCAAAGUGACCCUGCUGGAGCCCGGGGGCACCUCCAGCCCCCCGGGGGUCCCUGCGCCUCCUCUGCCGAGCGUCCGGGUUCAGUAUUGGCAGUUAUGCCAUGUACUGGGUCCGACAGAGACCCGGGCAGGGGCUGGAAUGGGUCGCGGAGAUCAGCAGAGGUGGCAGCACCUGGUACGCGGAUUCGGUCAAGGGCCGGUUCACGAUCUCCAGGGACAACGGGCAGAGCUCGGUGACGCUGACCAUGAACAGCCUCAAGGACGAGGAUUCCGGAUCCUAUUUCUGCGCCAAAUCUGCUGGUGCUGGUGCUGGUGCUGCUCGUAUUGAUAUCGUGACCCGGCCCUGCACUGACGGCGCGUACUCGGUGUAA